CUGAGCAUGCAUGGGUAAGCCCGGCAGCCUGUCUCUCUUGCUCAUUCAUACACACUCACACAAGCAAGUUGUAGACAUGAACAAAAGGUGAAAUGGACACAGAAAUGGAGUAAGAAACAGUGAGAGGUGAUAGAGAUAGUAAAGAGGAAGACAGACAAGGGGAGUAAAUGAAAGAGAGAGAGCAAAAAAGAGAGGAAGUAUGAUAGAAGGGGGAUGAGCAAAGAGGAAAAAGUGAAAAUGUCUAACUAAAAACCUUGGUAAGAGAAAUUAAGUGCAAGAAAAAGACAAAAGGCUAGAAAGGAACACUCGAGAACGCAGUAGGCCGACAUGCAGUGCUUCCUAGGGCCAGGCCUGCAUAUUGAAGGAGUCACCAGUGCGCGUGGCCCCAUUAAUAAUGCAGGGUCCCAUCAGACCUGUAGCAGAUGGGCACAACAGCCUCGGCCUCCUCGCUGCCACUUCAAGACGCUCCCGCUGGAGGUCCGCACCCGGCCCCUACAGCCACGCAGGGAGAAGUGAAGCUCCCGAAAAUAGCCAAGCAAGCUGAAGUACGCCCCUGGGAGAAGGGGAACCUAGGCCUUCCUGUUUUCACUGACAGAUGGCUCCACACAUUUGGAACAAAUAGCGGGAAGCAAGUUUGUGAUCCGUAUGUCGCAAUACCACAGCCUUUCUGUGGAUGACUCCACAGUAGCACACAAACCCUAAUUAGAUGUAGGAGUAUUUGGAGAACAAAAGGUGUGCAUGUUUAUUGGGACUAGGUUAUAGACCUAAGUUAUAGGUUUGACUAGGCCAGUAUGUUUUGUGAUCGACACUGCAGCUUCUUGGCAGAACAAGAUUUCUGACUUUGCGCAUGUGUGUGAUUGUGUGUGGGUGUGUUUAUGUGUAUUUAGUCAGUAUUCCCAUUGUGCCCCCUCUUCUAAUUAGCUAUUCUAAAGGGAAAUAAUGAUGCUGUAGAUAAAGGAGGGGGUGAGGACAUUAAUAUUUCUCAUAAUGGCACAUUCUUUAGUAGUGGUGUAGGUCUGGAAAUUCUUUUUUUUUUAAAGAUUUUAAAAAAUGUUUUAAAAAUGUAAAUUUCAGAUCUGUAAAAAAAAAAAAAAAACUACACAGCACAAUUGAACUUUUAAAAAUUCCAUGUGAGCCACCUAAGAAGAACAUGCAUGAUUAAAUAGGACUGAUCCAGUAAAUGUGAGCCGAGUUUCCUAAAAGUCAGGUUUUAAAAUUACAGAGCAAAUCUUUGUCUACCAGUGAUGAGAGUGUUUCUGGGAAACCUGCCCAAAUAAUUUAGAUCUGACUACACACACUUUUAAACUGUAGGUGUUAAAGUAUUGAUAUGUGAUCAAAGGUUACAGCUUCCUCGUGAUUCAUAUACUUCAAUUCAUAAAUUACUAGAACUUGAGCAGCCGUGUUUAAACAACUUUUAUUCCUAGUACAAUUCAUAUAUUUGAGGGGCAGAAACUCCAGAUAUGUACUGACAAUCAUAAGUGAAGACACUAUUUAAAAAAUAGGAAGUUUAUGGAAUUUAAAAUAAUUGUCCUAGUCAUAGACAACAGGGUGCUUUAAAAACAUCAUACACUUACUAGUAAAUAAAAAGUUAUGUUAAUAGUAUAUAACACUUCAAGGCAAUAGUUAUACUGUUUUAUGCUGUUGUCGUGUUCUCUGCAUGUGUGUGUGAAAAGAUGGCACUGCUGCUAUAUCACAACUGCCAGGUAACUUUCAGGGGACGUAGUGCACUUAACAUUUUGACAGUAAAGAGAUUUUAAGCACAGUUUGCAGACAUAUAAUAUGGAGGGGCAGAGAGAGAGAGAGAGAGUGUGUGUGUUUGGAAGGAAGAACGAAGCAGCGUAACAAAGAGGCUCAAGCGGGGUGGAGACUGUGAGGUGCAAAACCGUUAAACAGACAAAAUGACGUGCCUCAGGUCAGAGGAAUUCAGAGGUUGCUGUUGGUGCUGCUGAGUCAUGUGUAGUAGGACUCUGCUCUUAUCUCCAGUCGGCCAGGAGGACUUUCACUGGCAGUUGGUCUGUGUGAGUGAGGAAACAUGGAUGAUAUUGCCUGCUGCUACUGAAUUACCUGCACUGGUGUACUGGCUAGUUUCACUGGCUAAUUAGUGGAUAUGUUAAUAAUUCUAAAAAACAAUGUCAAUUCCAGUGUAGAUCAUGAUUUCAUUUUGGUCUGUAACUCCACAGUAUGGAGUUUUGGGGUAGGUCCAGUCCAUAGGCCAGAGGCCAUGCAGAGAAAAUUCAUAUGAGGGCAUGACUCAGCAAACUGUACUCUGACUCCAAUCAACAUUACCAGAGCUGAUCAGCGGCUUCCAAAGCAGAGAGAUACCAACAAAUCCCACUGACUCAGCAUAAAUGUCUGAGAGGUCAGGAGCAUGGGAUGAUGUCAGAACAUGUCAUACAAUACAAACAAAUUACAAACAAACCUUACGUAUUCUAUACGGACACAAUAGCUAACAAAUACACAAGUGUGACCGGUCUAUUCACACCCAUUUUAUAGUCUAGAAGAAAAAAAAAUAUGAACUGAAAAAUAUCAGUUCUAUUUUAUAGUGAAACAAAUCAGUCAACAACUCCAGACUUCUGUCUAUCAAGCCAGAAAUUACUCUAAAUCUAUUUGAAUAUUUAAGAAGCCACAUCAUGCAAUUUCCUGACCAAUAGUCCAAUAAAUGUUUGGAGCAUAAAUAAAACCAAAAUAAACCAAUUUGAAGAGCUUUGUAAUAUAAUCAGUGGCAAAUAUCUGGUUCUCAAACAAAUAAUUGAUUGGAUUUUUAAGUUAUAUGCAUACCAAUUUAUUCAGUUUAUUCUAUUAUUAUUAUUAUUAUUAUUAUUAUUAUUAUUAUUAUUAUUAUUAUUAUUAAACCCACUCUAAAUGUAGCACAAACAUUAUAGAUGGCUUUUUAGUCACAAAGUCACUAUAUUCUAUAAUGUAAAAAAUGGGUCACAAAUAUUCAUUUGCUUCUGAAAAUGUUUGAUACUGUAUUGAAACACACUUAUAUAAGUUAAUCAUAAUAUCUCAUCAAAUUCACCACAAAUUGGUGUAGUGGUUAAAACUCAUUAGCUCAAUUAAAUGAGUACCAAUUAUGGAUAGACUGACAGAAAAGUGCAGCCCAUUAUUAUUUCAUGGAUCUUUAAGCAGACCAUAUUUUAGCCGCUUAAACAACUUGUAAUCCAUAAUUGAUUUAUACGCUUAAGUUUGAAGUGUUCAAGAUUGGUAAUCACAUUAAUAGUCAAAUUUAUUUAAAAUCUCAAUCUGGAGCUUCACGUUCUUUGGGAUUACAUUAUGCAGCAAGAUGUCAGAGUAAAUUAAAUUCCCUUGUGCACACUAAAGUGUCAAUUUCCUUAUGGUAAUCAUCUGCUGGAAUGGAUGUGUCAGUAGAAGGAGUCAGGCAUGCCUGACAUUUAGCCUCUUUAUGGAGAAAUGACAGGGAAAGAAAUCAAGGGGUGGCAGAGAAAUUAAUCUUUCGCACGAGUGAGUAUGGAAAAGCAGCUGAAAGACUGUUGUAGAAUCAGCCGUUAUGUUUGUGACCCCAACAAGAAAAUUAAGCCAGUAAUAGCAAUAGACUAAAAAGGAUGAGAGGGGACACAGACUGAGGAUAUGUGAGGAAGAGAACUACACGUACACCACUGUUGGUGAUAAUUUUUUGAUGUGAUCGGUGCCGCACAGUAAUAUCAAGACCCAAGAAACAAAAUCAGAUUCACUAGUUUAGGAAGUGAGACACUGACAAGCAUCAGUUGAAUGAGCAACUGUUUGGAUGUUGUUUUCUCAUUAGUGUACUAAUACUAUGCUGCAAAUUAUCUUAAUAGUAUUGUACAAUACAAUCAAAGCAAUCAUCAAUUAUUUGUUUGAAAACCAGAUAUUUGCCACUGAUUAUAUUACAAAGCUCUUCAAAUUGAUUUAUUUUGGUUUUAUUUAUGCUCCAAACAUUUAUUGGACUAUUGGUCAGGAAAUUGCAUCAUGUGGGUUCUUAAAUAUUAAUAUUAUUAUUGGCUGUUUUUGUUUGUUUGUUUGUUUGUUUGUUUUUUAGAGAAAAAAAUCAAUAGAAUUUAUAAAUGCAUUUACAGAUGGUAUUGCAUCCAGCAUACAAUAGAAUAAUCUUAAGAUAGGACAAAGAAUGAAUGAAGAAUAAAUUAAUGUUACAGGACAUCAAACAAGUUAAUAAAUGUGUUUGAUAAAAUAAAACAGGAAUAAAUCAAAUUCAAAACAUUUUUUUCCACUGGUAAAAAAAUAGAAUUUCCACAAGUGAAUAUGAUGUUUUUUUGUUAUGAUGUUAUCUCACUGGCUAGCCGUCUAAUCUUCAGGCAUCAAUCAGCAGAGGAGACGCAACAGCAACAGAAAUUUGAUUUUACCUCCAAAUAUCCUAACCUUAAAAGGGAAAAUCACAUGAAUGUCACAACUGGGUUCAAAAGAACUGCUUUUAAUUAAGCUUUUGCACCAAAGGGAAUUAACCUGCUGCACUUCCCAACCCUGGAAUACCCCCUGUCCCACACAUUUUAGUGUUUUCCUGUUCUAACACACCGUUUCAACUCAGAAAGGGCUUUUAAUUAGAUGAUUAAUUCAGUCAGGUGUAUUUGAAAAACAUUAAAAUGUGUAGGACGGGGUAUUCCAGGGUUGGGAAUCUGUGUCACACACUUUUAUAUUUCAGUUUUGUUGAGGGUCUCUCAACGAAUCACUCUCUGAUUAAGAAGAUCUUAGGGAGAAGAGGGAGAAGCUGGAGCAGGUAAAGGUAUAGGACUGACCCAUCUUAAUCAUAUUUACAGUAGUUAUCAGUGUAUAUGCUGUUCUGUUCAACAAUGCUGUCUAAAUCCCCAUCCCUGAUUCCUGUUAUUUGAUUUAAACAAAUAAGAAUGCGUUCAUUAUUGUAAAAAACGGAGAAAGAAAAAAAAACCUUUACAUUACAAAUAAUUUACUUUAGCUUACUAGUAAAGGCAACAUAUAUAUCAGAGUAAUCUAUGUGCAGAGCAUAAACAGUCAUUUUGUUUAAAAAAAGGAACAUUGUAUUGUAUUUAUACAGAACUACACAUUGGUAGCAGUAUAUUACUCAGUGUCUUAUGCAGUAUAAUACUGUAGUGUCAGGUAGAUGAGCUUCAUUUCUGAUUAAAUGAUUGGUUUAAAACCUUCCUUAGGAAAUAACUCCGGAAAUAAAAGCGUCAUAAAUGAUCUGUGAGACCUUAACUGUGAGACCAAACCUUGCAAUUAUAAUGUCUGAUUUUAUUUUUCUAAUAAAGGUCCCUUUAUUAUGAACCUGUAUGACGUUAAUUAAUAAACAAACCAUCCA